GCGGCGGACGGGUGAGUAACACGUGGGUAACCUGCCUGUAAGACCGGGAUAACUCCGGGAAACCGGUGCUAAUACCGGAUAGAUUAUCUUUCCGCCUGGAGAGAUAAGGAAAGAUGGCUUUUGCCAUCACUUACAGAUGGGCCCGCGGCGCAUUAGCUAGUUGGUGAGGUAACGGCUCACCAAGGCGACGAUGCGUAGCCGACCUGAGAGGGUGAUCGGCCACACUGGGACUGAGACACGGCCCAGACUCCUACGGGAGGCAGCAGUAGGGAAUCUUCCGCAAUGGACGAAAGUCUGACGGAGCAACGCCGCGUGAGUGAAGAAGGUCUUCGGAUCGUAAAGCUCUGUUGUUAGGGAAGAACAAGUAUCGGAGGAAAUGCCGGUACCUUGACGGUACCUGACGAGAAAGCCACGGCUAACUACGUGCCAGCAGCCGCGGUAAUAC
rnacentral:rRNA from 20 species